AUAUCGAGUUCUUGAACGCACAUUGCGCCCCAUGGUAUUCCAUGGGGCAUGCCUGUCUGAGCGUCGUUUC
rnacentral:rRNA from 1 species